AGUGAACGCUGGCGGUAGGCCUAACACAUGCAAGUCGAACGGCAGCACAGUAAGAUCUUGCUCUUACGGGUGGCGAGUGGCGGACGGGUGAGGAAUACAUCGGAAUCUACUUUUUCGUGGGGGAUAACGUAGGGAAACUUACGCUAAUACCGCAUACGACCUACGGGUGAAAGCAGGGGAUCUUCGGACCUUGCGCGAUUGAAUGAGCCGAUGUCGGAUUAGCUAGUUGGCGGGGUAAAGGCCCACCAAGGCGACGAUCCGUAGCUGGUCUGAGAGGAUGAUCAGCCACACUGGAACUGAGACACGGUCCAGACUCCUACGGGAGGCAGCAGUGGGGAAUAUUGGACAAUGGGCGAAAGCCUGAUCCAGCCAUACCGCGUGGGUGAAGAAGGCCUUCGGGUUGUAAAGCCCUUUUGUUGGGAAAGAAAAGCAGCAGGUUAAUACCCCGCUGUUCUGACGGUACCCAAAGAAUAAGCACCGGCUAACUUCGUG
rnacentral:rRNA from 1 species